GUGCAAGCCAUGCUGCUCUUACUGUCUUCAUAGAAUCAUUAAGGUUAGAAAAGACCUCCAAGAUCAUCGAGUCCAACCCUUCCCUGGAUACCACCACACCCACUAAACUCUAUCAUGAAGUGGCAGUCAUCUUUUGAAC